GCGUGACAAUUGCCUAGUGGACCACCUGCUCCAUGAGGGCGCAUUUCUCCUGCACCUCUAGAUCAGCACACCAGAUGACCAGAAAGAGAACGAGACAAGCAAUCUCUUUCUCCACCAAGUGGGGAUACAGCAAGAAGGCAGCUGUGAGCAAACCAGAAACAGAGCCCUCACCAGACACCAAAUCGGUUUUGCCAGCACCUUAAUCUUGGACUUCCCAGCCUCCAGAACUGUGAAAAAUAAAUAUUGUUUUUUAAGCCACCCUGUUUAUGGUAUUUUGUUAUAGCAGCCUGAGCUGACUAAAAUCUCAGGUCAUUGAAGGAAGAUGUAUUUUGCUUCGUUGGGAUCUUUACCAAGAGCUGUACUUGGACAAUUCCUUUACUGAAGGCAACACACACAUUAAAAUCCAUUGCUUACCAGCUGCACUGCAGUGCCUCAGUCACCAUGAUUCUAAGUAUAAAAAUGCUAAGUAUAGGCCAGGUACAGUAUCUCAUGCCUGUAAUUUCACCACUUUGGGAGGCUGAGGCACUCAGAUCACUUGAGAUCAGGAGUUCGAUUCCAGCCUGGCCAACAUGGUGAAACCCUGUCUCUACUAAAGAUACAAAAAUUAGCUUAGCAUGAUGGUGUGUGCCUGUAAUCCCAGCUACUUGGGAGGCUGAGGCAGGAGAAUCGCUUGAACCUGGGAGGCAAAGGUUGCAGCGAGCUGCACCAUUGCACUCCAGCCUGGGCAACAAGAGUGAAACUCCAUCUCAAAAAAAAAAAAAAAAAAAAAAACUAGCUACUAGCUAUAUGCUAUUUCAAGAUGUAUAUAAAUAUCAUUAUUAUACAGAAAUAUUGAAAAGCAAUUAAUAAAAAAAUACAUCAGGCCAAAACCAACUAAAAUGAAGUUGGAAAGCUAUAUUAGUAUCAGAAAAAAUAGACUCACAAAAAGUAUUACUGCAGAUAAAGAGUGUCAUCUCAUAAUAAUAAAAUAGUCCCAGCCUGUCCAACAUGGCGAAACCCCGUCUCUACUAAAAAAUACAAAAAUUAGCUGGGUGUGGUGCCACGUUCCUGUAAUCCAAGCUACUUGGAAGGCUGAGGCAGGAGAAUCACUUGAACCUUGGGGGUGGAGGUUACAGUGAGCCGAGAUUGUGCCAGUGCACUCCAGCCUGGGUGACAGAGUGAGACUCCAUCUCAAAAAAUAAAUAAAAAAUAAAAUAAAAUAUUCAAUUUAACAGGGAUGUAUAACAAAAACUACUCUGUACCUAAUAAUAAAAAUUUAAAACAUAUGAUGUAAAUAUUGAAAAAAAUGUUGAUACAAGCUUUAUUUAUAAUAUGGCCAGGUAUGGUGGCUCA
rnacentral:lncRNA from 10 species